GUGUGUAACAACUCACCUGCCGAAUGGAUUAGCCCUGAAAAUGGAUGGCGCUGAAGCGGGCAGCCGACACUGUGCCGUCUGGGCAAAAAAUAUUUUUAAAAAGGGAGUGGAUCCAGAUGAGUAGGAGGAAUGUGGCGGUCGUAUUGAAGCGUGUGCGCAAGCAUGCGUGAAACGGCCGCUAGUACAGAUCUUGGUGGUAGUAGCAAAUAUUCAAAUGAGAACCUUGAAGGGCGAAGCGGGGAAGGGUUCCACGCGAACAUUGAUUGGGCGUGGGUGAGUCGUUCCUAAGCCGUGUGGUAAUGGGUAGAGAAACGGCGAAAGGGAAGCAGGUUGAUAUUCCUGCACACGGAUGUGGAUAUGCGGUGACGCACACUGGGGCGGUGAAGUCGUCGAUUGCACUGGGCAGAGAUUUCUUUUCUGUUUGACGGAGCCUGACUGUACGCUAUGGAAUCCGCUUGUCGGGAGAAAUAGGUAUGUCACGGCAAAGCGCCGGGUUUUUUUUUCUGGCGUCCAGUUUGUGAUUGGCGGACCUUGAAAAACUGUCUGCUGGCAAAACACUCGUUGUUUUGUGUGAAAAAAUUCCACGCCGUAACGUACCGAUAACCGCAUCAGGUCCCCAAGGUGAACAGCCUCUGCUCGAUAUGAAAAAUGCAGGUGAGGGAAGUCGGCAAAUUGGACCCGUAACUUUGGGAAAAGGGUUGGCUCUAGUGCUGCGUAGGAGUGGUCACUGGUUGUAGCUGCGGACUGUGGUGUUUUGUUUCAUUGUGAGGGCCUGCGGGCGGAAAAGUCUUCGGGUUUUUCUUCGCUCGCGCUUUUGCGGUGGAAUGAGGCGCCGUUUUUCGCGGUUCCUGGGGACGCCUACAGCAUGCAGCAAACUAGAACUGUAACGGACAAAGGGAAUCCGACUGUUUAAUUAAAACAAAGCAU
rnacentral:rRNA from 1 species